UCAGUAGCUGUGUUUUCUUUCAAGGUGGUAAAAACUGCUUUUUUUCCCCCCCUCUUCUAGGUAUUUGUUUGAAUACAUAGAAGAAGAUGACAAGUGUGCAUGGAUGGUUUUACAUAAUUAACACCUGCUAGAUUUGCAAAAGGCAAUUAUCACUGCGAAGUGUUUACAUUGAUUUAUGGGAGGAAGGUGGCCCAUGAGAGGGAUGCUGAUAAUAUCAACACAGUGGAUUAAAUGCACAUUUGCACCUUUAUUGACAUAUAAAUUAUCUGUGCCAGGAAUGCACUGAAAAGGCUGCUGAUGGAGCAAUAAUGUGGCACAAACUACUGGGUUUGGAUUCAGCUCUAUCAUCCUUCUGUAAGGCACAUACUUCGAAACCUUCAUCUGAACUACUAUAGGAUAUAGAGGCUUGCGGAAUGGCUGCUUGUUAAGAUAAUGAGCUGUGAUGGCAAACAGGAAUUUAGAAGGAUGAUAAAAGACAAUGGAUGAGGUUUGAAGGAAUUAUUUAAUCUUUUUUUUAAAUUAUUUUUGGAUUUUUGUUGUUUAUACUAUGGAUUUUUAGAGAAAGCUUAAAGAGACUGGAAGAGUGUUUGUAGCAGGGAAAUGGAACCUGGCUCUGAAUCCAGCCAACAUCUGAAAAGAAAGACUGUGACACAUGGACUGGAAGAUCAAAAAAGGGUUGUUUUGGCACGAUUUGAGUUGGGAAGUGCUGCAGCUGGGUGGUGAUAAUUGGUCCAGCCUGGGUAUGUGCCAAUAGGAAAAAGCUUCUCUGGAGCUUUACAAAAAAGUUCAACCAAAGGAACCCUUCACAAUCUGAGUGUGUCACAUGGGUUGGGCUGCUCUGUCUGCCACUGUCCUGCUGCUGCAGCCUCACGUUUCAGGGGCUAACUUGUUUGGAUGAUGUCAUGGAAUUACUUUACCUUUAAGGAAGUUGAAGUUGCUGGGGACUGACUAGAGUCUUUUCUCCUGACCAAUUAUCGGUCAUUGCUGAGAACUGACAGCAGUUUUGGCCAUUGAAAAGUGAGAUCAACUUGUGAACCCUACCUUAAGAAGUAAAGUCAGGGCACAUAGGGUCUCUUUGUUUCCUGGCUGUGAAGGGUGGCGGAGCUCCAGGCCUCCCGUCCCCUGCCCAGGCCAUGCGGCCGGGCGGGGACUGGGCUGGGCC
rnacentral:lncRNA from 1 species